UUCUUUUUUGUCUGACUGUCACAAGCAUUGGAUGGAGAACAUCCCGCCCAAUCACAGGCCGUGUGGAUGCAUGGAUCUCAAAUAGGAGCAGCUGUUGGAUGCUGCCGUGGCAGUUGCAUUGUGUGAGCAAGACUAUUGAAAACAAUGAGUAGUAGAUGUUGUCCAUCUUAUACAAGAUUCUUUACAAAGAUAUAUUGAAUGGUUUCCUGAUGGUGUGAGCAACACUAUUAUUGAAAACAAGACAUGAAUAAUAGAGUGAAGGGUUAUACAAAAUUGGUGUUCCAUCAAGGGAUGUAGUUCGUCAUCUAUAAUUAAAACUGAAUGCUAUGGUAUCACUUCAGGGUUUUGCUUCUGUAGAUGCUGCGUUUAACUCUCCUCCAGGUAUUUGUAUUUCCCCAUGUCUCUAUUCUUUUUAUCUGUUUAAUGAUGAAUGGUAGGCUAUUCAGAGUUGAAUGUAUAGUAUAGGAAAAAAGAUGGCAUAUGUAUUAUUACUGCUGUAGGGCAACAUUGUGACUUUCAUUUCGUUUUCUAAAUGAAAAUG